GAACAGACGUCAUCAAGCUGCCUUGUCUUCAUAAUUGGACGUUGGAAAACCAUGUGAGCGUGCGUCACUGCCACCUGCUGGUCAUGAGGAGGAACUAUCCAAGUUGUGUUAGAAGAAUAUUGGCCCAGUACGAAAUAUUGAGAAGCUUUCAACCACAUUUCCUGGCCUUCCUCAGCAGACGUAGUUGAGCUGAGCUUUGAAAACAUCCAAGUUUGAGCUUGUGUUGAGAAUGUUUUUGUAAAACCGCUGUUUUCAAGGUCAAGAACAAACCUUCCAGCUCAAAUUAAAAACUUAUUAUAUCUAAAACAGAAUCACUGUUCUCCAGCUUUAUACUGUAAUGCUGACUUUUUUCCACUACAGGCGCUGUCCUGAUGAUGAUUUCAGGGUCUGAGAGCAUCCAAGUCCACCAAAACCAGUUGAACUUCUGUCAGUGUGAGGGGUCAAAGUCACAAGAGUUGAAUAAUUAAAUGUGUUAGACUAGGGGGUCGCCAAACAUGUGUCACCCCUUCAACUGCAUCCCUGUAGACGCCACAGCAAGGAGGCAAUGAAAGUGAAUUGGACUGAAAAACACUGCUGAACUUGGACUGUGACAAGAUGUGAAAGAUAACUGUUUUAAAAAAUA